UGAGCAACCUACCGAACUGUGGGGGAUAGCCGGCCUAACGGCCGAGCAAUACCGCAUACGCUCUCAGGGAGGCAUUUCUUUGAGAGGAAACCUACGGGACAGAUCGAGGGGCUCGCGGCCUAUCAGCUAGUUGGCGAGGUAACGGCUCACCAAGGCAACGACGGGUAGCUGGUCUGAGAGGAUGGCCAGCCACAUUGAGACUGAGAUACGGCCCAGACUCCGUAGGGAG
rnacentral:rRNA from 1 species